rnacentral:rRNA from 1 species
UGGCUCAGAUUGAACGCUGGCGGCAGGCCUAACACAUGCAAGUCGAGCGGAAACGACAACAUUGACUCUUCGGAGGAUUUGUUGGGCGUCGAGCGGCGGACGGGUGAGUAAUGCCUAGGAAAUUGCCUUGAUGUGGGGGAUAACCAUUGGAAACGAUGGCUAAUACCGCAUAAUGCCUACGGGCCAAAGAGGGGGACCUUCGGGCCUCUCGCGUCAAGAUAUGCCUAGGUGGGAUUAGCUAGUUGGUGAGGUAAUGGCUCACCAAGGCGACGAUCCCUAGCUGGUCUGAGAGGAUGAUCAGCCACACUGGAACUGAGACACGGUCCAGACUCCUACGGGAGGCAGCAGUGGGGAAUAUUGCACAAUGGGCGAAAGCCUGAUGCAGCCAUGCCGCGUGUAUGAAGAAGGCCUUCGGGUUGUAAAGUACUUUCAGUUGUGAGGAAGGGGAUAACGUUAAUAGCGUUAUCUCUUGACGUUAGCAACAGAAGAAGCACCGGCUAACUCCGUGCCAGCAGCCGCGGUAAUACGGAGGGUGCGAGCGUUAAUCGGAAUUACUGGGCGUAAAGCGCAUGCAGGUGGUUCAUUAAGUCAGAUGUGAAAGCCCGGGGCUCAACCUCGGAACAGCAUUUUGAACUGGCAGACUAGAGUACUGUAGAGGGGGGUAGAAUUUCA